rnacentral:rRNA from 1 species
CCUACGGGAGGCAGCAGUGGGGAAUAUUGGGCAAUGGGCGCAAGCCUGACCCAGCAACGCCGCGUGCAGGAAGAAGGCUUUCGGGUUGUAAACUUCUUUUCUCAGGGACGAAGCAAGUGACGGUACCUGAGGAAUAAGCCACGGCUAACUACGUGCCAGCAGCCGCGGUAAUACGUAGGUGGCAAGCGUUAUCCGGAUUUACUGGGUGUAAAGGGCGUGUAGGCGGGAAAGCAAGUCAGAUGUGAAAACCAUGGGCUCAACCUGUGGCCUGCAUUUGAUUCUGUUUUGCUUGAGUACUGGUGAGGCAGACGGAAUGCAUGGUGUAGCGGUGAAAUGCGUAGAUAUUAGGAGGAACACCAGUGGCGAAGGCGGUCUGCUGGACAGCAACUGACGUUGAGGCGCGAAAGCGUGGGGAGCAAACAGGAUUAGAUACCCGUGUAGUC